AUUGAACGCUGGCGGCAGGCCUAACACAUGCAAGUCGAGCGAGCGGCGGACGGGUGAGUAAUGUAUGGGGAUCUGCCUGAUGGAGGGGGAUAACUACGGGAAACGGUAGCUACUACCGCAUACUAUCCGAUGAACCCAUAUGGGAUUAGCGUGUAGGUACGGUAAAGGCUCACCUAGGCGACGAUCCCUAGCUGGUCUGAGAGGAUGAUCAGCCACACGGGGACUGAGACACGGCCCAGAGUCCUACGGGAGGCAGCAGUGGGGAAUAUUGCACAAUGGGCGCAAGCCUUAUGCAGCCAUGCCGCGUGUAUGAAGAAGGCCUUCGGGUUGUAAAGGACUUUCAGUCGGGAGGCGUUACCGACAGAAGAAGCACCGGCUAACUCCGUGCCAGCAGCCGCGGUAAUAC
rnacentral:rRNA from 1 species